GACGAACGCUGGCGGCGUGCUUAACACAUGCAAGUCGAACGGUGAAGGGACUGGUUUUGCUGGUCCUGGAUGAGUGGCGAACGGGUGAGUAACACGUGAGUAACCUGCCCCCUUCUUCUGGAUAACCGCAUGAAAGUGUGGCUAAUACGGGAUAUUCUGGGUCUGUCGCAUGGUGGGCCUGGGAAAGAUUGCGCCUUUUUUGGUGUUUUUGGUGGGGGAUGGGCUCGCGGCCUAUCAGCUUGUUGGUGGGGUGAUGGCCUACCAAGGCGGUGACGGGUAGCCGGCCUGGGAGGGUGGACGGUCACACUGGGACUGAGACACGGCCCAGACUCCUACGGGAGGCAGCAGUGGGGAAUAGUGCACGAUGGGCGGAAGCCUGAUGCAGCGACGCCGCGUGAGGGAUGGAGGCCGUAGGGUUGUGAACCUCUUUCGCCAGUGAAGCAGGCCUGCCUCUUUUUGUGGGUGGGUUGACGGUAGCUGGAUAAGAAGCGCCGGCUAACUACGUG
rnacentral:rRNA from 1 species